rnacentral:rRNA from 1 species
UACGAAGGGUGCAAGCGUUACUCGGAAUUACUGGGCGUAAAGCGUGCGUAGGUGGUUCGCUAAGUCUGAUGUGAAAGCCCUGGGCUCAACCUGGGAACUGCAUUCGAAACUGGGCCGCUAGAGGGCAGUAGAGGGGCGUGGAAUUCCGGGAGGAGUGGUGAAAUGCGUAGAGAUCCGGAGGAACACCAGAGGCGAAGGCGGCGCCCUGGGCUGCACCUGACGCUGAGGUGCGAAAGCGUGGGGAGCAAACAGG